rnacentral:piRNA from 1 species
UCCAGAUAUUAUUUAGAAAGUUACCACCC